GCGAAACCGUGUGAUCUACCCAUGGGCAGGUUGAAGCUGUGGUAACACACAGUGGAGGACCGAACCGGUUGACGUUGAAAAGUCUUCGGAUGACCUGUGGGUAGGGGUGAAAGGCCAAUCAAGCUCGGAAAUAGCUCGUACUCCCCGAAAUGCAUUUAGGUGCAGCGUUCUGAUAGUUAUAUAGAGGUAGAGCUACUGAUUGGAUGCGGGGGCUUCACCGCCUACCAAUUCCUGACAAACUCCGAAUGCUAUAUAAUGUUUCAGGGCAGUGAGGGCAUGGGUGCUAAGGUCCUUGUCCGAGAGGGAAAGAACCCAGAUCUGCAGCUAAGGUCCCAAAGUAUAUACUAAGUUGAACUAAGGCGGUUCAGUUGCCGAGACAGCCAGGAGGUUAGCUUGGAA
rnacentral:rRNA from 1 species